UACGGGGGGGGCAAGCGUUGUUCGGAAUUACUGGGCGUAAAGGGCUCGUAGGUGGCCAACUAAGUCAGACGUGAAAUCCCUCGGCUUAACCGGGGAACUGCGUCUGAUACUGGAUGGCUUGAGUUUGGGAGAGGGAUGCGGAAUUCCAGGUGUAGCGGUGAAAUGCGUAGAUAUCUGGAGGAACACCGGUGGCGAAGGCGGCCACCUGGACGGUAACUGACGCUGAGACGCGAAAGCGUGGGGAGCAAACAGG
rnacentral:rRNA from 1 species